GGCGCCGCUUCCGCGCCAUGGCGGCGCUGCGUCGGCAGGUCUUUGAUUGGCACCGCCUGACCCCCCUUACCUGGGCCCUCCUCACUAGGCAGACUCCUCAGCCUGGAGGACAGAAAAGGACGACUGCUUUUUUGUUGCGUAAACUAAUGACAGUCUCAAAUGGAGGGGGCCUUGAGGAGUCAUCCUUUGUCAAACCCCAAGAAUGUGCGCAGAAACCAGAGCACACAACAGGGCUGAUUCAGCGCCUCCUCGAGAAGCAGAAAACUCCUGUGUUGCAAGAGAAGUUUGUCAGUUCCCUCCUGGACAUGGGUUUUAGUGAUGUCCAUGUUAAUGAACUGCUCAGCAUACAGCCAGGUACCCACCCUCAACAGAUGCUGGACAUCAUUUCAGAAUUAAUACUUUUGGGUUUGAAUCCAGAGCCUGUGUGUGUGGCCUUGAAGAAAAGUCCUCAGUUAUUGAAACUACCUGUGAUGCAAAUGAAGAAGCGCUCCAGUUACCUGCGCAAGCUGGGCCUUGGAGAAGGGAAAUUAAAGAGGGUGCUUUACUGUUGCCCUGACGUCUUCACCAUGCGUCAGCGGGACAUCGAAGGCAUUGUUGGGGUCCUUAAGGAGAAGUGCCUUUUCACCGUAAAGCAAGUCACCGAGAUUUUGCACAGGUGCCCAUAUGUUCUUCGGGAGGACCCUGGUGAGCUGGAGUACAAAUUUCAGUAUGCCUAUUUCAGGAUGGGGGUUAAACACGUGGACAUCGUGAAGACGGACUUGCUGCAGUACCCCGUGACCAAGAUCAAGCAGAGGCACGUGUUCUUGGAGCGACUGGGCCGGUACCAGACCCCUGACAAGAAGGGGCAGACACAGGUCCCCAACCCUUUACUGAAGGACAUCCUCAGAGUUUCAGAAGCUGAGUUUCUGGCCAGAACAGCGGUUUCUUCUGCUGAGGAGUUUGAGGUUUUUAAGAAACUAUUUGCCCGGGAAGAAGAGGAGUCUGAGGGCUGCGUGGCUGACGAGGAGAGUCCGGACGAGGAGGAGGAGGGGCAGAAGGAGGAGCAGGAGCUGUGAUGGGUGGACUGGAGUGAAGGGAGCCCAGAGAGGCGAGAGGGUAUUUUAAUGUCCUCAAAGCUCUUGGGAGCUUCACUUCAUUCUUCUCAGGGUAUCUUUUAUUCUUAAACUGGUCUUUUGAUGAGAGAAUGUUUAGCAAUCAGCUGAGAGGUAAACAGGCCAAGCUAAGCAGCAGAUGCCUUGCUCGAUGGGUCGGGUUUGGUGUGGAGGGCCCGCUCCAUCCUGAGUC
rnacentral:lncRNA from 1 species